UACGUAGGGAGCUAGCGUUGUCCGGAAUCAUUGGGCGUAAAGCGCGCGUAGGCGGCCCGGUAAGUCCGCUGUGAAAGUCAAAGGCUCAACCUUUGAAUGUCAGCGGAUACUGCCGGGCUAGAGUCUGGAAGAGGCGAGUGGAACUCCUGGUGUAGCGGUGGAAUGCGCAGAUAUCAGGAAGAACACCAACGGCGAAGGCAGCUCGCUGGGACGGAACUGACGCUAAGGCGCGAAAGCGUGGGGAGCGAACAGG
rnacentral:rRNA from 1 species